rnacentral:rRNA from 1 species
GAUGAACGCUGGCGGCGUGCCUAAUACAUGCAAGUCGAGCGAACAGAUAAGGAGCUUGCUCCUUUGAAGUUAGCGGCGGACGGGUGAGUAACACGUGGGUAACCUACCUAUAAGACUGGGAUAACUUCGGGAAACCGGGGCUAAUACCGGAUAACAUUUAGAACCGCAUGGUUCUAAAGUGAAAGAUGGUUUUGCUAUCACUUAUAGAUGGACCCGCGCCGUAUUAGCUAGUUGGUAAGGUAACGGCUUACCAAGGCGACGAUACGUAGCCGACCUGAGAGGGUGAUCGGCCACACUGGAACUGAGACACGGUCCAGACUCCUACGGGAGGCAGCAGUAGGGAAUCUUCCGCAAUGGGCGAAAGCCUGACGGAGCAACGCCGCGUGAGUGAUGAAGGGUUUCGGCUCGUAAAACUCUGUUAUUAGGGAAGAACAAAUGUGUAAGUAACUGUGCACAUCUUGACGGUACCUAAUCAGAAAGCCACGGCUAACUACGUG